rnacentral:rRNA from 1 species
GCCUAACACAUGCAAGUCGAACGGUAACAGGAAGAAGCUUGCUUCUUUGCUGACGAGUGGCGGACGGGUGAGUAAUGUCUGGGAAACUGCCUGAUGGAGGGGGAUAACUACUGGAAACGGUAGCUAAUACCGCAUAACGUCGCAAGACCAAAAAGGGGGACCUUCGGGCCUCUUGCCAUCGGAUGUGCCCAGAUGGGAUUAGCUAGUAGGUGGGGUAACGGCUCACCUAGGCGACGAUCCCUAGCUGGUCUGAGAGGAUGACCAGCCACACUGGAACUGAGACACGGUCCAGACUCCUACGGGAGGCAGCAGUGGGGAAUAUUGCACAAUGGGCGCAAGCCUGAUGCAGCCAUGCCGCGUGUAUGAAGAAGGCCUUCGGGUUGUAAAGUACUUUCAGCGGGGAGGAAGGGAGUAAAGUUAAUACCUUUGCUCAUUGACGUUACCCGCAGAAGAAGCACCGGCUAACUCCGUGCCAGCAGCCGCGGUAAUACGGAGGGUGCAAGCGUUAAUCGGAAUUACUGGGCGUAAAGCGCACGCAGGCGGUUUGUUAAGUCAGAUGUGAAAUCCCCGGGCUCAACCUGGGAACUGCAUCUGAUACUGGCAAGCUUGAGUCUCGUAGAGGGGGGUAGAAUUCCAGGUGUAGCGGUGAAAUGCGUAGAGAUCUGGAGGAAUACCGGUGGCGAAGGCGGGCCCCUGGACGAAGACUGACGCUCAGGUGCGAAAGC